UUUUUCAGUGUUCACAAUCAGUCAUGUUGGUUUUCAUGGUAGUGUUCACUACAAAGGUCAGCUGUGGUUGGAGCACAUACAGCCAUCUGUUCCUUGUGAGGAUUUCAAAAUCUGUUACAUCACCAAAGGAGAAACUCUUCAUGAGACUUUUCCAGUGUACAUGAAAAAGUUUAAUGGUCCUGAGGGAGAGUAUCAGAUUUACCUGACUGUCGACAUUAUUGAUGACCUUGGAAACAAAGUGACAUUACAAUCCAAUGCCACUAUAGAAGCAAAAAAUUAUAGCAGUGAGAAGACAUUUUUUGUCCCACAGCUGGGAGGACUGUAGAGAAAACUACAUGGAGUAUCCCGCUUCUUUCUUUUUGAGGCAGAUGUCAUUUAUUCAUUCUGUAUUUUUGGUUCUGUUUUCUGAGCAAAUCAGGUGAUCAUCAGUGUUUAAAACAUUGUCACUGUAAUGAUUGUUU